AAUCAACGCUGGCGGCAUGCCUAACACAUGCAAGUCGAACGAGAAAGUGGAGCAAUCCAUGAGUAAAGUGGCGACCGGGUGAGUAACACGUGACUAACCUACCUUCGAGUGGGGGAUAACCUCGGGAAACCGGGGCUAAUACCGCAUAACAUCUUUGAAGUGGAAAUUUCGAAGAUCAAAGGAGCAAUUCGCUGGAAGAGGGGGUCGCGGCUGAUUAGCUAGUUGGUGGGGUAACGCCCACCAAGGCUUAGAUCGGUAGCCGGCCUGAGAGGGCGCACGGCCACACUGGAACUGAAACACGGUCCAGACUCCUACGGGAGGCAGCAGUGGGGAAUUUUGCGCAAUGGGGGAAACCCUGACGCAGCAACGCCGCGUGGAGGAUGAAGUCCCUUGGGACGUAAACUCCUUUCGACCCGGACGAUAAUGACGGUACGGGUGGAAGAAGCCCCGGCUAACUUCGUGCCAGCAGCCGCCGUAAC
rnacentral:rRNA from 1 species